AGAUUUGGGGCCUGAGUUUCUUCUGGGAAUAUGUAAUCCAUAAAUUCCUCCGUCCCAGCGAGACCAUCUUCUGAAGCAAUCGGCCUCCUCUUUUUGAGCUUCUUAGGCAGCUUAGGCUGGACUAAGCCAACAUCACCUAACUCACCAAAACUACUCUCCAUGUUCAACCAUUCUUCCAGAAGCAUAGCUCGUUCCUCCUUCAAUUCAGGUGCUGAUGUUCUGAAGUAGUUAAUGGCUUUCUCAAAGACCCUUCUUGCAUUCUGAAUACACUUUUUCUUCUGUUCUUCCACUGAAUCUGCA
rnacentral:misc_RNA from 1 species